rnacentral:rRNA from 1 species
AUUGAACGCUGGCGGCAUGCUUUACACAUGCAAGUCGAACGGUAACAGGGAGCUUGCUCCGCUGACGAGUGGCGAACGGGUGAGUAAUGCGUCGGAACGUGCCGGGUAGUGGGGGAUAACGCAUCGAAAGGUGUGCUAAUACCGCAUACGUACUGAGGUAGAAAGUGGGGGACCUUCGGGCCUCACGCUAUUCGAGCGGCCGACGUCUGAUUAGCUAGUUGGUGAGGUAAAGGCUCACCAAGGCGACGAUCAGUAGCGGGUCUGAGAGGAUGAUCCGCCACACUGGGACUGAGACACGGCCCAGACUCCUACGGGAGGCAGCAGUGGGGAAUUUUGGACAAUGGGCGCAAGCCUGAUCCAGCCAUGCCGCGUGUCUGGAGAAGGCCUUCGGGUUGUAAAGGACUUUUGUCCGGGAGCAAAUGCCUGGUGUUAAUAGCACUGGGAGCUGAGAGUACCGGAAGAAUAAGCACCGGCUAACUACGUGCCAGCAGCCGCCGUAAAAC